CUACGGAGGGUGCAAGCUUUAUUCGGAAUCACUGGGCGUAAAGGAUGCGUAGGCGGGUUGGCAAGUCAGAUGUGAAAUCCUACAGCUUAACUGUAGUACUGCAUUUGAAACUGCUAACCUAGAGUAUGGGAGGGGGAGAUGGAAUUAGUGGUGUAGGGGUAAAAUCCGUAGAUAUCACUAGGAAUACCGAAAGCGAAGGCGAUCUCCUGGAACAUAACUGACGCUAAGGCGUGAAAGCGGGGGGAGCAAACAGGAUUAGAUACCCUAGUAGUCC
rnacentral:rRNA from 1 species